GAUGAUUGGCAACGGGUGAGUAACACGUGAGUAACCUGCCCGUUCACUCUGGGAUAACCCUGGGAAACUGGGUCUAUUACCGGAUAGGAGCCCCUACCUCAUGGUGGGUGAUGGAAAGAUUUAUCUGCUUUGUGAUGAACUCGUUGUCUAUAUUCUUGUUGGUGAGGUAAUGGCUCACCAUUGCGACGACGGGUAUCCGGUCUGAGAGGGCGACCAGCCACAGUGGGACUGAAACACAGCCCAUACUCCUACUGGAGGCAGCAGAGGGGAAUAUUGCACAAUGGGCGCCCGCCUGAUGCAGCUACCCCCCUGGAAGGAUGACGGCCUUCGGGUUGUGACCUCUUUCACANGGAAGAAGCGAACUGACGGUACCUGCCGAACAAUGNCAGCUAACUACAUGCCNGAAGCCGCUGCUCUACGUAGGGCGCGAGCGUGUAUCCGGAAUUAUUGGGCGUACGAGCUCCAUACGCGGUUUGUCGCGUCUGCCGUGAAAGUNGGGGCUUCCCCCUAUCUGCGGUGGUACGGGCAGACCGGACUGCCCAGGGGAGACUGGAAUGCUGNGUGCGGUGGAAUGCCCAGAUAUAGGACGACACCUAUGCCCAGGCUGUCUCUGGGAUGACCUGACACUGAAGACCGAUAGCUGGGGAGCUAACGGGAUUCCAUACCUGGNAUCCCUGACACNUACCUUGGGCACUAGGUGUGGUGACCAUACCAGGGCUUCCCGCCCACUCACGCAUUACGUGCCCGCCUGUGCACUACCGUCUCACGCUCCACUCA
rnacentral:rRNA from 1 species